UCAAAUUAAAAUUUUUUUAAAUCCAAAUAAAUAAAUAAAAAGUGCAAAUGAACAAUCCUUAAUUUUUGUGAGAUUUUUUUUCUUCAUGUUUUCUAGUUUUUUUUUAAAAUUUUUUAUUUGAUCAACAACCCUUGUAUUUGACUCUUUGAAUUUGUGGCAUGUAUCUUUUAAUGAUAAUUUCUUCAAAUAGGAGUAGGCCUAUAUAUGUUGUAUGUUAUUGAUAUGAAAGAAACUAUUAAUAUGUUUAAUUCCUUUGAACCUGAAAACAACUGUACCUAUGAUCUGUAAGUGAAAAACAAGCCAAACAUAUUGACUUUGAAACUAUAAUAUUUUGUAUGAAUUGUCCAAAUAUAUUCAUUUAAGGCUUUCAUGAACUCUAUGCAGGUUUUUUAAUACGAUUUUCUAGACAAAAUGUUACAGGGCAACAAUCAUUUUCUUAGCAGUUUGAUGUUACAUGUAAGUACAUAUAUACUUGUUCCUUGGUUCUAAUUUGGUGGGAUAUAGAUUUUUAAGUUACCUUUGUAAACGAUUAGCUCAUUCCUAAUUCUAAUUCCAGUUUCUGUAAUCAUAUUGCAGGGACUGUAAAACUAUCCAUGUCAUGAAGAAUUUUUUAUGCUUGAGUGUGUACUAUCUUGUUAUUGAUUGAGGGAGCAAUUGGUGGGAGCAAAUGGAAAGAUCUACCUGGUAAAGCCUUUGUAGACAAAUCAUCCCUUCACAAAUAUUACAAUUCAGAUCCUUUGGAGUAGUUAGAAGUGAUGAAGCCUUCAAACACAGUGUAUUCAUAGCUACAGAGUGCCCUGUUUUCACAUAGGUACAAAUUAUUCCACAAUCCCACUUUCUCAAAUGUUCGUUUUUUUUCUUACAACAAUAAUUCACAUAUAUGAGUUUCAACUGAAGUUAACUUGAUUUAUAUUUCAUCUCUAUGAAUAAGCAAAAACCUGAAUUAACAAAUGUGGGAACAAUUAGCCAAUCUCAUUGGUUUGGUUGCUGAGGAUUGUCUUCUUUAGAGUUUUGACAUUAUGCUUGCUCCUGAAUUCUCCAUGGUGACACCAUCAAUAUCUAUUCCUUGACUUUGCUCCAUGUGAAAGCUUUCAACUCAUUGGAGCAACUACUAAAGGAUUGUACUUGUGGGUUCUUCAGCUCAAGUCCUUGCCAAAACAGGGGUUGCCCUCCUCCCUUUCUCGUCUUUAUAUUCCAGGAUGUCCUCUGCUGAAGAAGCUAUGCCAAAGGUAUAAAAGGAAAAAAUUGCCCAACAUUUCUCACAUCCCCUGCAUUGUGAUACUUGAUGAAAUUGAUUCCUCAAUUGAAGAGGUCAUCUGGACAUAAGGCCCUUGCAUCCAAGCUUUUGCCUUUCUCUGCAAUUAUUGAUUCAGUAAGUAUUUUAUGUUUUUAUUUACUUUUUGUGCAAUCCAUGCACACCAAGUUUGUGAAUCAUUCUCUUUUACCAAUCAAUUCCAUCUCACCAUAGACCUUCCAUGGCUGCUCCAGAAUUGAAACCAGUAUUUUAAACUCUAAUACAAAAACAAAGCAAAGUACUGCUGCUUGAAAAUUAGUUUUAUUUUUUAAUUAAAUAAAUAUUAAAUGUGUGUAGUAGUUUUAAAUUUCUUUCUUUUUUUUAAAAUAUCUUUAGUAGUUAUAUAGCAAAACAGAAAAAGAAAUUUUCAAGGAUUUUUGAAUAAUUUUUUUGUGAUUUUCUAUGAUUUAUUUUAUGUUUACAAAAGAGGCAUGUUUUAUUGAUAAAUUUUAAAAUAAAAGAUCAAAAUACCCUACCAAAAUACAUUUUUGAAAUUGUUUUCAAAUUAAAAUAUUAUAACUGUAUGAUAGAAACACCUACCAUGGCAUCAUAUUUCAUAUGGCUUUGAAAUUAUCUACAGGUAGAAAUUGGAUGAGUAGGACUUUUCUACCUGUGUUUGUGACUGUGACUGUGGAUGCUUAUUUCUAGGUUAUUUUCAACAUGUGACUGUGUUUGUGGAUGCUUAUUUCUAGGUUAUUGUGGUGCUUGAAUGGAGACUGGUGGUUGGAAGUUGAUGUCAAAUCACCAAGACAUGAAAAUAUAUGGAUGCUAUACUCAUUGUAUAGACUUUUCACUUCUCCUCUGUCUUGCAUGGCACUUGGGUAUGCUCUUUUGCAUAGGGAGAGCUUAUGCAUGGUAGAAAAGCUCUCUUCUUGUUAGUGGGUCCAUUAACUGACUUAUAACUAUGAGAAAUAAAAAUAUAAGAUAAAUAACGCAUCAUAUCUCAUAUCGUUCUGAAAUUACCUGCAGGUGAAAGUUAGGCAGAUUUUUGUUGCCUUCCUAAGUUUUGUUGUUGCUAUAAAACCAUGUGUAAGUAGCUUCUACUUUUGGUAACUUAACAUGAGACUAGCUUUAAUGGAUGGAUUGAAAAUUAUUCUGGGUUUCAACUUUAUUACUGCACUCAUAAAAAUCUAGAUAGUUUGUGAAUUGCAAGUUGAUGUUUGUCUUAAUAGCUUAAUUUUCAGAUAUUAAAAAAAAAUCCACUGUAUUUCCCAAAAAUAUCUUGACAGAGCUAGAAGUAGGAGAAGCUAGAGAGAUAGGGGAAGAACCAAAGUCCAGAAUUAUGGGCAUGAAGGAGGAGAUGAAGCCCUUGUUGGUUUCAUAUAAAAUAACAAUGGUAAUACUAGAAAUACAAAGUUUUAUUGGAAUUAUAAAAGAACUUAGGGAAAAAGAUACAUCUUUUAGAUUUGGAAAAGCAAUUCCCUACUCUCCAACUUUCAAACUUUUACUGGUUCACUUCAAAAUCAAGCAUACGAUUUUGUUCACAACCAAGUUAAUUGCAUUUCAAUAUUGUAGGCUUCUGGCUUAAAUACAAAUCUCUUGGCUGUCAAAUAAGCUUUGCUGCUUUAAUUGAUCUAUGUCUCUGGAGUUUCAUGCCGACUUUGUGUGGCAGGGGACCAAAACAUUCUUCCUGCCCUUUGAAGAAGCCCAAACAGAGUUACCCUGAUCAGGUAGGGAAAUUGGACUUUUGAAUUGGGUUGCCAACUCUGUUAUGCAACAUAAAAUCCUCUCCUUUUCAAAUCUGCUAUACCUUCUUAGGUUAUUAAGAUGCUUUUUGUGUGAUCCAUAUUUACAGGAUGUGAAUGAGUGAAGACUUUGGUCCUGAAAAGUGUUGCAAAUGUGGUGAAGAAUCACUAGCACUCUAAUUUGGUGGGAUAUAGAUUUCUAAGCGACCUUUGUAAACAAUUAGCUCCUUCCUAAUUCUAAUUAUUCUGUUUCUGUAAUCUUUUGUCAGGGACUAUAAAACCGUUCAUGUCAUGAAGAAUUUUCUAUGCCUGAGUGCAUACUAUCUUGUUAUUGAUAUAGGAGGUUCUCCACCAAAAGACUCCAAAUGGAAAGAUCUACCUGGUAAAGCCUUUGUAGAGAACUUGGUGGCGAUCAGAAAAGCUUCCAGUACUACUAUAGUUGUUCUGUUUUGUUGGGGUUUUGUCAGACCAUUGUAAGAGAACAAAAACUUUCUCCAAGCCCUUUCAGAAACUUAUACCAAACCUGAAAAGUCCCAAUGGCACAGUAAGGUAGGGAAAUGGGAUUGCACCUGUGACCUGUUUCAUACUCAUACUAGCUCUUACUAAAACCAUUUUCUUUUUCCUCUUCUACAUUCUUAGAUCUUUGAAUCCUUGAUACGUACAUGGAUGCGUAAGUGGAGAUCUGGAGGUCUCAAAGGUGAUGCAAACACGGUGCAGAAUCACUGGUGGAGAUGUGGUGGGAUCAGAACUUGCAAUGCUCCCCCUGAAUGUGAAGAGUAAGGAAUGGCAGCAACGCCCUCUCAUUGGUUCCCAAGUUCAUGUAUCAAAUCAAGUGGAUGAUCUCACCACCACCCCGUAAGACUUCAUGUUUCACCCAGAACUGUUGGCAUGUCCAGUUCUUCGGUCUCUAAACUGUAAGCAUAUGAAAGAUGUUUCCCAAUAUCUGUUGUGCUCAAAAGGCAUCUUUAGCAAGACCUACAAUUUUGCUGAAUAGAAAAUUAGCUUACUUGAUGUCAGGUCAAGUAAACAUUAUCUUAGUGAACUUAAUGAAUUUUUUUUUUUUUAGUUAUGAUUCUUCAAUUUCAAGGAAUCUGAAAGUCUUUCGGCUCUUCGAGAUGAGGCUACCACCCAUGCUUGAAACCCUUGAGAUCCAAGGCUGUCCCAUUCUUGAGUCCCUGCCAGAGGGAAUGAUGCAAAAUAAUACUACUCUCCAAAGCUUGUCUAUCAUGCAUUGUGAUUCUCUAAGGUCCCUCCCCGGUAUCAAUUCAUUGAAAACACUUUUAAUUGAAUGGUGUAAGAAAUUGGAGUUAUCUUUGGCUGAGGAUAUGACACACAACCACUGUGCUUCCCUUACAACUUUAUAUAUAGGAAAUAGUUGCGAUUCUCUCACUUCCUUUCCAUUAGCCUUCUUCACAAAGUUUGAGACACUUGAUAUUUGGGGUUGUACAAACCUGGAGUCCCUUUACAUUCCAGAUGGAUUCCACCAUGUGGAUCUCACAUCUCUCCAGAGCUUGUAUAUCUAUUAUUGUGCUAAUCUGGUAUCUUUUCCACAAGGAGGAUUACCCACUCCCAACCCCAAAUCACUUCUAAUCAGCUCGUCCAAGAAGUUCAGGUUACUGCCCCAAGGGAUGCACACCCUCCUUACAUCCCUUCAACAUUUGCAUAUAUCUAAUUGUCCAGAAAUUGAUUCGUUUCCCCAAGGGGGUUUACCCUCUAAUCUAUCUUCCCUUCACAUCUGGAAUUGCAACAAAACUUGUGGCCUGCCGGAUGGAGUGGGGCUUGCAAACACUUCCCUUUCAUAGAAGCUUGUGGAUUGGAGGACAUAAAGAAGAAAGAUUGGAGUCAUUUCCUGAGGAGCAAUUUCUGCCCUCCACUCUCACCUCUCUUACAAUUGGGGCUUUUCCAAAUCUUAAAUCCUUGGACAAUAAGGGGCUUCAGUAUCUCAUCUCUCUUGAAACUCUGUAUAUUUUGAAUUGUGAGAAGCUCAAGUCCUUCCCAAAACAUGGGCUGCCCUCCUCCCUUUCUCGUCUUAAUAUUAGUAAGCGUCUGCUGCUAAAGAAGAGGUGCCAAAGGGAUAAAGGGAAAGAAUGGCCCAAGAUUUGUCACAUCCCCUGCAUAGUGAUUGAAGAAGAGUUCAUUUUGUCAUGAGGGCCUUGCAGCAUCCAAGCUCUUGCUUUCUCUGCAAUUAUUGAUUCAGGUACCUACUUUCUGCUUUUAUUUAUUUUUUGUACAAUAGAUGCUCACAAGUUUGCAUUUCAUUCUCAUUUAUCAAUCAAUUCCAUCUCACUUACUGUAUGGCUUACAUUUCUGCUUUAGAAUUGAAACCAAUUUUUUAAACUCUAAUAGCAAACAAAGCAAAUUGCUUGAAUAUCAAUUUAAAUUUUUAAUUACGUUUUUAUUUUUAUAAAUAUUAAAGGUGUGUAGUAUUUUCGAAUUUGUUUCUUAUUUAAAAAAAAAAACAUUUUUAGCAAUUAUGUAACUAAAAGGAAAAAGUAUUUUUAAGUCUGUGCUAUGUGGUUGUCAUUAGACCUAGGUUCCUCUUCAUGUUAUGCAGCUUCAUCAAUGGCAUCACUCAAGACUUAGGAAGAGGUACUAUUUUGUUGGCCUUUGGAAUAAAAUAUGUCUUUUACUACCAUGAAGAUUCUGUUUUACUGGAGUACCUAUCAGUAUGCAUGCUGCAGUGGCAUUGCAACACCUUUCAGAAGUUAACAUGAAAUUAGCCAGGUUAUGAACUUUGGAAAUUAGGCAGCGUCUACCCUUGAUACACAAAAGCACUUUUCAGCUGAAUCUGUUUUUGAAGAUGAAAUUUAAUUCCAUGGUGCAAUUUAGGGCCUGUUUGUUUAGUGUUUUCAAGAACUGUUUUCUGUUCUUGAAAACAAAAAACACCAAAAACUCGUUUGGUUGACAGGGUCGUUUUUGUUUUUGUUGUUUCCCGUGUUCUCAAAAUGGCACUGUUUAGAGAACAACAAAAUGUUGUUUUCCUCGUUUUUUUUACUGUUUACAGAACAAAAUUAAACAAAAAAAAACAACUUAUUCUCCGUGUUUUUUUUUUCUUCCCGUUCUCAUCUCUUCUCCAGCACAAUCUCAGUCUUGAUUCAAGGUUUGUGAAAUUUAAAUCCAAUGGCACAAUAGCAAAGAGACCCCUAAAACGGAUCCAGAAAACACAGGGAGCAAAAGAACCAUUUUUUUGGUUUUCCUUGGGGUUUUUGCUUGGAUUUUCUCAGAAAUCAAACGAGGAUGAAAUUUCCCGGAAAUCGAAUGGGGGAUGGAUUUUCUUGGUAAUCAAACGGGGGUUGCAAAAAUAAUAAUAAUAAUAAUAAUAACAUGAUUAGAUUAGUACCUGCGAGGAUUGAGAGUGGCAGAGGAAAAUAGGGCCUUUUAGGGAUUCUCUUGGCUGGAGGGCAACUUCAGAAAAGGGCUUUUUGAUGCCCGAGAGAGAGAGAGAAGUGGGUGGCAUUUUGGAUUUAGUAGAGAUAAAAAAAAAAUUUUAAUAAAUCACGAGCACAAUUUUAUCUCAAUUUAAUAGAAUAUGUUAUACCUUUUUAAGAUUAAAUAAAAAAAUAUUAAUAAAAAUAAUUUUAUUAUGUUUGAUUUAUUUUAAAAAAAUAUUUUUAUUUUUAAAUUAAUAAAAUAAAUAAUUUUUUUAAUUUAAAUGAACUAUAUAUCUAAAAAUUAUUUAUAAAUUUAUAAUGUAAAAUUACUUGAAGAAAAUAUUUUAUUAAUUAGAAAAGAAAAAAAAAACAUCUUUCAAACGUGUUUUUUAUUUUAUUUGUUAAAAUUUUUUUUUUAUUAACUCAACCAAACAUGUUUUUUUGUUUUUGAGAACAAAAACUGUUUUUUAAAAUUCAGUUCCCAAACACAAUUUUUUUUAAAAAAACAUCAAAAACUGUUCUUAAAAACUGUUCUCAAAAACUGUUUUCCAGAACAGUUUUCAAAAACAGCAACCAAACAAGCCCUUAGUGUUUCAUUCUUUGUUUUUGUUUUUGUUUUUCAUAUAGUUUUCAACAUGUGACUGCACUUUGUGGAUGCUUGUUUCUUGGUUAUUUUGAUAUUAGAAUGGAGGUUGGUGUUGGAAAAGUUGAUGUGGAACCACCAAGACAGAAAACUAUAUGGAUGGUAUGGGCAUUGGGUGGACUACUCAUUUCUUCUGUGUCUUGCAUGGCACUCAAGUGUGCUUUCUUGUAUAGGAAGAACUUAGACAUGGUAGAGGACUUGUUAGGAGCAUAAAGGAAGUAAGAAGAAACCUUAAGAAUUAUAGCCAUGAAGGUUAAGAGACUUCUAUUACUCGAAUAACUUUGAGACAUAUCCUAGCAAUAAAAAUUAUACAAUAUUUUACAUGUCCAAACCACCUCUUUUGGGUUCUCUUGACCUUCAACAUUCAAGGGAAAAAACAUUUGAGACUUUAAUGCUUUAAAAGUUAAUGUUUUAGAAAUUUAUAUAAGCAUGUUGACAGAUGUAGUUUUUGAUGCAGGUCAUUGAAUGGGUUGUUAACAAAACCCUUAGAAAUAGAAAUUACAAGUUGAUCUGAACUUUCAAAACUAGUUAUUUUUUCACUUCAAAAUUGAAUAUAAGACUUUGUUAAUGGACAAAUUGCAUUUCAAUAUUGCAGGCUCGAUCUAGUGUAGUACCCACUUGUUGGCUACAAGAAUAGCUUUCAGUAUCACUAUAGCUGUUCUAUUUUGCUGGGGUUGUCUCGGACCAUGUGCUGUAAGAGAACAAUAACUUUCUCGAAGCCCUUUCAGAAGCUUAUAAUAAACCUGAAAAGUUCCCAUGGCACAGUAAGGUAAGGAAAUGGGAUUGCACCUGUGACCUAUUUCAUACUCACACUAGCUCCCGCUGAAAUAAAUUUUUUCCUUCUCUACAUAAUUAGACAUUCGAAUCCUUGAUGCCUACAUGGAUGAGUAAGUGGAGAUUUGGAGGUCUCAAAGGUGAAGCAAACACAGGCAGAAUCACUAAUGUGGUGGGAGCAGAACGUGCAAUGCUACAGCUAAUUAUGAAGAGUAAGAAAUGGCAGCAAAGUCCUCUCCUUGGUUACCAAGUUCAUAUAUCAAAUCAACUGGGUGAUCUCACCUCCACACUGGCAGACUUCUUGUUUCACCCAGAAGGUUUCUCUUACUAUUGGUAUCAGAACUGUGUACAUGUCCAGUUCUUCGGUCUCUUAACUGUAAGCAUACGAACAAUGUUUCUCAAUAUCUGUUGUGCUCAAAAGGCAUCUUAUGCAAGUCCUACAAUUUUGCCGCUUACAAAGUGAGUUUCUUCUUCAUGAGGAAUGAGAUAUUUGAAAGUUGUACUGCUUUUACUUGAAUUCAAUGGAAUAAAUAACAUUUUUUUCCCUUCCCCUGCAGCUAAUUGAGAUUGAUACUUUUAUGAAUGGAGAUAAAUAUGCCAAGCUACAGAACUUAAUUUUAAAAGGGGCUCCUGCAGGCUCAUUGCUGAUGUUUUUUCCAGAUAGUCUUGAUCAUGAUUGCAAGGUUCAACAGUUAAAUUCUAGCUUUCAAGGUAGAGGCAAAAUCGGCUUCCAUCUAUGCUGUUGAAAUAAAAAAUAGUGCAGCAAUUUGUUGAAGUGCUUAGAAACUAAAACCAAACAAUCUCUAGGUCAAGGAAUAAUAUGAAAAUAACGUUAAUUGUGCAUAUAUUAUAUAUAGGUAACUAUGUCUAAAUUGUAACAAUGGACUGCCUAAUACUUUGAUGGAUAAGAAAAUGGUAUUCCUGAAUGCGUUCAGAAAAUAUUGGGGGUCAUGAAACAGAAAGCAUUGUACACCUGAAAAAAGAAGGGUACAGUUCUUAUUCUAACUUGCUCAUUGAUUUGAUAUAUAAUUCCUUGGACGUGAUGGUGUAUUUGGUUUUCAGAAUGCAAAAUUUUAAUUUGUGUACAAGGCAGGUAACCUUGGAACUCAUUUCGAUUGAAAUGGACAUCUGAAUGAAUGAUGUUAUCCUCUUUCUAGUUUCAAUCACUACCCUUGUUUUCAGGUUCUUUAUCCAGUUCUCUUGUUUUCAGCACCUCACCUCUCUUGAAAUGCUGGGGAUAGAGCGGUGUAAUAAACUCAAGUCCUUGCCAAAACAAGGGCUACCAUCCUCUCUUUCUUGUCUUUAUAUUACUGAGGAAGCGGUGCCAAAGGUAUAAAAGGAAAGAAUGGCCCAGCAUUUCUCACAUCCCUGCAUUGCGUUCGAAGAUGAGUCAUCUGAUGAAGAGGUCAUCUUGUCAUGAGGCCCUCGCAUCCAAGUUCUUGCUUUUCUCUGCAAUUAUUGAUUCAGGUACUCCUGCUCUUAUUGUGCAAAUUAUUGAUUUGAAAAAAAAUAAUUAAAUGUUGGUUGGAUGUGGUUUUUGCUAUCAAAAUUUGAAUUAAAAAAGUAAACACUCCCUACCAAAAUUAUUAGCUCAGUGCAUAUACUAUAAAUUAUUCCUAGCUAACUUAAAUAAUAUUUCUUGAAAUUUAUUUGUUUCAUUCAUUUGCAUUUUUAUGCAUUUACUAACCAUUUCCCAUUUCCAAGCAAGGUCUAGUGUAAUAAACCUAGUGUGAUGAAUUUCUCAAUCUGCCCUCUUCCACAGGUGACCUACAAAAAGUAGGAAGUACUGCCUUGAAGGUUACAUCAGCUUGCUAAGUUGGUAUAGCAGCAUGAUGAACAUGAGAAAAAUUCAAUUCCUCAUUUAUUUUUUACAAUACCAUAUUCUAAAGAAAAUGUCCAAACCAUACAUAAAUUUUUGUCAUCCCAAAAGCUAAAAUUCAUAGCAACAUUGAAUCGAUUAAUUUUACCAAUAUUUAUUUAUUAACAAAAAUUUAAGUGAUAUUUUAAAACUUAAUUUCAUCAAUUUAACAUACCCAAAAAUAUUAAAUCCACUAAAUUUUGUUCCUACAAUUUUCUCAAUUUGACCAAUUCAUAUUCUAAUUCUGCCAAAGGCCCAUGGAACAAAUUCAAGACUUACCCUUGACCUAAUUUCAACCUUUAACAACCAAUGCUCACUUUUGACUAAAUUUUCUAACUUGUUUGACAAAAAUUUUAAUACUAUAAACUGACGUAGACCCCAAAUUUUAAGACCUUAUCAAUGGGUUUCAAAAUGGGUAGCCUUCUUUUUAAACUAUAAUUUAUUGGCUUAGGCUUUGUUUGGACUUGUCUUUGGUUAUUGGGUUCGAGAUAUAUAUUGCUUUGGUCUUGCUUUGGUUGUGGCCAUGGGCUUGUUUGUUGGGAUAUUGAAUUUUUCGACUUAGGCCUACUGGUGAGCUCUUAGCUUACUGGGCUUUUUAAGUCUUUGUCUUUGGGUUCGGCUUUCAUUUGAUUUAUUUGGACAUGGAAAAUUUAAUGGACUUUCAUUUGAUUUACUUGGACAUGAUUUACAUUCCAAAUGGACUUCACCACAUGGAUCUCACAUCUCUCCAGAGCUUGUGUAUUGAUCAUUGCCCUAAUCUGGUAUCUUUAAUAGCAAGGAGGAUUGCCCACUCCAAAUCUAAGAGAGCUUGUUAUAAUUGACUGCGAGAAACUCAAGUCACUACCCCAAGGGAUGCACACCUUCCUUACAUCCCUUCAUUAUUUGUAUAUAUCUAAUUGUCCAGAAAUUGAUUCAUUUCCAGAAGGAGGUUUGCCCACUAAUCUAUCUGAGCUUGACAUCAGGAAUUGCAACAAACUUGUGGCCUGUCGGAUGGAGUGGGGCUUGCAAAUGCUUCCCUUUCUUAGAAGCUUGUGGAUUGGAGGACUUGGAGUCAUUUCCCGAGGAGCAGUUUCUGCCCUCUACUCUCACCUCUCUUUCAAUUAGGGAUAUUCCAAAUCUGAAAUCCCUGGACAAUAAGGGCCUUAAGCACCUCACCUCUCUUGAAACUUUGAUGAUUAACAACUGUGAAAAGCUCAAGUCCUUGCCAAAACAGGGGCUGCCCUCCUCCCUUUCUCGUCUUUAUAUUUGAGGAUGUCCUCUACUAAAGAAGCGGUGCCAAAAGGAUAAAGGGAAAAAAUGGCCCAACAUUUCUCACAUCCCCUGCAUUGUGAUAGUUAAUGAAAAUGGUUUGUCAAAUGAAGAGGUCAUCUUGUCAUGAGGCCCUUGAAUCCAAGCUCUUGCCUUUCUCUGCAAUUAUUGAUUCAGUACGUACUUUCUGCUUUUAUUUAUGUUUUGUGCAAUCCACACACACCGAGUUUGUGUAUCGUUUAUUAAAUAGGAGCAAAAAGGAAGUAUGAAGAAAAGUUAAGAACUAUGACCAUAGAGGUUAGAUCAGCUUGCUAAGUUGAUACAACAACACAGAGCAACAUACUUCACCUAUUACUGAUCAAAUAACUGAGAGACACAUCCUAGCAAGAAAAAAUUGUAUAAUAUUUUACAUAUUGAAACCACCUUUGCUGGGUUUUCUAGACGUUCAACAUGCAGGGGAAAAAACAAUCAAGACGUUAAUGAUUAAAAAGUCUAAAUUUUAGAAAAUCAUAGAAGAUGUUCUCGAAUGUAGUUUUUGAUGCAGGUUAUCAAAUGGGCUGUCGACAAAACCCUUAGAAAUAGAAAUUAGAGGUUGAUCUGAACUUUCAAAUCUUAGUUAUUUUUUCACUACAAAAUUUAAUAUAAGAUUCGGUUAAUGGACAAAUUGCAUUUCAAUAUUGCAGGCUUAUAGUGUAAAUGCAAACUUGGUAGCUGUCAGAAAAGCUCUCAGUACUACCAUAGCUGUUUUAUUUUGCUGGGGUUUUAUGUCCGACCAUGUGCUGGAAGAGAACAAAAACUUUCUCCAAGCCCUUUCAGAAGCUUAUAAUAAACCUCAAAAGUCCUCAUGCCCAUUAAGGUAGGGAAAUGGGAUUGUACCUGUGACCUGUGACCUGUUUCAUACUCCUUACUAAUUUUCUCUUUUAUUUUUUCUUUUUUCUUUUCUAAUUUAUUAGAUCUUUGAAUCCUUGAUACGUGGAUGUGUACGAGGAGAUCUGGAGGUCUCAAAAGUGAAGCAAAAGUGGUGCAGAAUCAGUAAUCAUUGGAACUAGCAGUAUGCAGUGGGGAUCAGAACAACUUAUUCAGUUCUUUCUCGCUUGAAUCAACUUGCUAUGCUACCACUAUAUGUGAAGAGUGAGGAAUGGAAGAAAAUCGCUCUCCUUGGUUACCGAGUUCAUAGAUCAAAUAAAGUGGGUGACUUCACCUCACCCACCACAAUGCCAUGCUACCUCGUCUCUUCAAUACGUACAACUGUUGGUAGUUGGUGCAGACUUUUUGUUUCACCCAGAAGGUUUCUCUUACCAUUGUUAUCAAAAUUGUCUGGUUCUUCAGUCUCCUAACUGUAAGCAUAUGAAAGAUGUUUCCAAAUAUAUGUUGUGCUCAAAAUGCAUCUUCUGCAACUCCAGCAAUUUUUCUGCUUACAAAAUUACUGUUGAUAUGCUGAUGUUGUUACUUUUAUGCCUGUGAUUUAUAACAUUUUUUCCCUUCCUCUAGAGAUAAUUGAGCUUGUUACUUUUAUGAGCCAAUAUAAAUAUGUCAAAUCAUAGAACAGGAAGUGGUUUCAGGGGAGUGUCUUAACAUGGUCCAUGUUCUAGUGGCAAGUUAUCAAGUAGGAUUAAAAUUAGAUGCCUUGUGCUCUUUGCUAAGCACAAGUAAAGCGACGUGUUAGAAAAGGGUCUCCUGCAAGGCUCAUUACUUCUUGCUAUCACUGUGUUUAACAGCUAUGCUUUGUAUUCCAUGCAGUAGUAAAAUUCAAAAGAAAUAAACUGUGUAGAGGUUGUAGGGUUGUUCCCUAAUACAUGAGCUGAAAUCUCCUCCUAAAAGCUUGAACAUGUUCAACUUGAAGCCAGUUUAGAGGUGAAAUGAAGGUGAUAUCAGCAAAUUUCAUGCUAGUUCCACGGUGUCUACCUUUACAGUUUGAAGUUUACCUUCCUAUGUUCCAUUGCUGAUUUUUUUUGCCAGACAUUCUUGAUUAUGAUUGCAAAGUUGAACAGCUAAAUUCUUGCUUUCAUGGGGUGGGCAACAACUUCUAAUUAUGCUCUUGAAAUAAAGAAUAGUGCAGUAGAUUUGAAGCACUUGGGAAGUAAAGCCAAACAAUCUCCAGGGCAAGGAAUUAAUAUGAAAAUAUAGUACAUUGUGCAUAUAUUAUAUGUAGGGAAGUAUGUCUGGAUUGUAAUAGUAGCUGCCUAAUACUUUAAUGGAUGAGCAAAUAGCACUCCAGAAGGCAUUGAUAAACUAUUGGGUUCCUGAAGCAGAUCACCAUUUUUCAACUUUCUUGCUCUCCAUAAAAAUCAGGACUCCAAUUUGGUACCGCUUUACAAGGGAUUAGAGAUUGCACCCUUUUCUUAAAUGCAUCAACUUAGCCAAUGAUUUAUUAUGAAGGCAAUGUCGAACACUGAAGAUGAGCUUUGAGAUUUUAACUCGUAGAAAAAGAAAAUUUACAAUGCUUAUUGUAACUUGAUCACUGAUUUGUUACAUAAUUCCUUGGACUUGAAGGUGUGUUUGGUUUUCAGAAUGAAUUUUGAUUUGUUUAAAAGGUAGAAAACCUUAAAUUGGCCCAUUUUGCUUGAAAUGGAUUUCUGAAUGAAUGAUGUGGUCCUCUUUCUAGUUUCAGUCACUACCACGUUUGAUUUGUCUGAAACAACUUCUUAGUCCACUGGUUCAUAUUAGCUGCCGAAUUACACGCCUUAGGCUUUCAGUUAGACAUGGGAACAGAUUAAGCUUGUUAUGCACGUCAAUUGUUAAUUGCUUUUAUAGUUGCUUUGAUUCACAUAGCUUUGGAGUUCUUGAUACUAAUAUUAGUACAAAUUUUUGUUUGUAGAAGUUUUAAUUGCUUCUAAAUCAUUAGUUAAGUUCUACCUUAUUUUCAUUUACUACUCAUUGCAAAUUGUUCUUUGAUUUUUUCUUAAUAUUUCAAAUUUCUGGCUUUUAACCUCUGUUUGCUUGCAAGUUCCAACUGCUUUCAACAUUGAAGCUUGAUUAGUCUAUGGGUACAAACUUAGUUUGAAUCAUUGUAGGCUCACUUCUAGUAUGAUUUCAGUGAUCUAGUAACUACAAAUUAUUGUGCUCCUUUAAUCUUCCACAUAAAUGCAAAUCUACUUGGUUCUUCUUCUACAACUUACCUGAAUAUAUUUUUGAAUCAAAAUCCUUUGUUACAGCAGGAAUAGUACCCACUAAUGACUGACUAAAUUUGGAAUUGAUAAAUGGAAGGGAAACACAAACUAGGUCUGUAAUGAAUGCAGUAAAGGUAAAAGAAGAAAGUACCUGAAUGAAAUUUGCAGUCCCAUCAGUGUGAAGAAAAGCAGAGUUUCCAUGGAAGGGCCUCAUGGUAAGAUGACUUAGCAUCAAUCUUUAUGCAAGGAACAUGCCCAAUUGUGGGCCAAUCUUUCCUUUUAGCAAAAUGAAUGGUGUAAAGUGCUUGAGUUGGUAACAAAAUGUGAAAAGUGGGGGUUUGAGGUUUCAACACAAUUUUCUCUUGAAGAAAUUAUCCCUAACCUAAAUUUUCAAUGCUUAGGUUGGAUUUGGUUUGGAUGGCCCAUAGACUGAUUGGGCAGAGUAAGGUGGUCCUAAGGGUCAUGGGGCUAAGGAUGGGCUAGGCUUAUAUGUAAUUUGCACCUUGAAUCUAAAUUUUAUAUUUAUAUGCAUCUACACUUUUCACACAUCCAUCCCGAAACUUAAAUCUUUUUAAUAUAUCCACUUGGUUAAUUUUUUCUUCCAUACCUUCUCUUCUACCUUCUUACCUCAUUUCUUCUUAGUCAAAACAAAAAUCAUCUCCCAAGCUUCUUUGUCACAAAAAAAUACAUUUGAAAUAAGUUUAAAGCUUCUUUGUUUCACAUGAAUGUUUUUAGUAUUAUUAGUUAUAUAAUUUUUUAUAAAUAUUUAUUGUAAAAAUAGUUAGAAAACAUUUAUGAUGAAUUUAACAUAUUUUGAGGCAAAAAGAAUAUUUUAAAAAAUAAAAAAUAAUAAUAUUUUUGUCCAAUAAUUGAUAGAAUUCAAUUUAAUUCAAUAGCUACAUAUUUUAUAGAUAUAGGAACACUUAGUUUAGGUUGGCAAUUUUAUUCCAUCCAUUCUAUUUUAGGACUUUGGAUAUUUAAUUUUAUGUGAUUUAUAUUACCUGAUGAAGACUCCAGAUUUGUAUAAAACCAACCUCCAAAAAUCCAAAUAAGUAUGAUUAAGUUAAUCAAAAGGCUAAUUAAUGACUUGUACAGGGCAUAAAGUGGCCUUACUUAUAGCAAUUAAAGUCAAUGUUUUGGUUUAAAAAUCCUUUCAUAUCUUCAUUAUAUAAGUAAAUAAAAUGGCAACAUAAUCUUAAAUAUUACAUUUAUAAUUAUUAUUCAAUAUAUCAUCUUUCUUAUAGUAAAAAAAGAAUAACAACAUACGCAAUUGGACCACAAAUAUAUACUCAAAUAAAAACAAUUUAGGUUAUAUUCAAUUCAACAUCAUGUACAAUUAUUAUAAUUAACAUAAAUAUAUAAAACAAAUCUCAUCACAACAUAAGUUAUUUGCUAGUAUAAUAUGAACUGUGGAUGAAUUUCCCAUCAACAAAUUUUUCAUUAUUUUUAAAAUUUUAUUAAAAAAUGUUUGUGAAUAAUCAUCAAGAUUCCGACCCCACUUUUGACUAACCCAUCAUGUGAAUGCUUAAAAAGACACUAGUACUUCCAAUAUUAUUUCUAUUUUGUCUAAUAAUUUGUGCAUCUUGAUUGUUUUAAGGGUUAUAUAAUUUUAUUUUUUAUUGAUUUUGAGAGUAGUUUUUAUAAAAAUAUUUUUAAUUUAUUUUAUUUUUAUUAAUGACAUUUUCACAGAAACGUUUGUUAAGAGAUCAGGUAACAAUCCGAUAUAAAUUUCUUUUUAUAAUUUUUAGUAACAUAUUAUGUAAGAAAAAUCAUAUUUUAAAGAAAUACAUAGUAAAUGCUAGUUUAAGAAUGAAAAGAUUCUUUAACUUUAUGAAACAAUUUUCAUAACUUUGUUAAAACAUGCUUUUUAAGUAUUUAGAAGCACUUUAAUCCUAUCAGAAUGAGCAACAUAGAUGUUUUUAUGUACCAUUCUAGCUAUUAAACAAUUUUCUAUUAAUCAAUUAAAAAAAGUAGAUGAAUGAGAUAUUAGAAAAAUGUAUACAUGCAUUUCAUGAGUUUUUCCUAAUCACAAAUCAAGUCUUUCGAAAGCUAAUAUGAAAAGGAUAAGAAGUAGGGUUACCUCUUUUUUAAUAUCUUCAAAUCAUACAAGAAGGGUAGAGACCUACACUACAUAAAUAGUCAACUUACAUACCAUCAAGGUUUGAAAAAAAUGGUUCAGAUGAUCGGACAACCAUCAAUAUGGACAUGACUAAAGCAAUUUGAUUUACUUUUUUUAUAAACUUACCCAAAAUCUCUUUCACUAAUUUUUUACUCAUAGAAGAUAUUCAAUCAUUCUACUUUUUUUUUUCUCAUGGUGUUAAUAUUUAUCUUCUCUUUUCUCUAUAUUAAAUCUUAUGGUAUACUUAAUUAAUUCACUCUCAUAUACGGAUACUAUUAAAAUAUAAUCAUAUGCGCUAAAAUUAAAUCAUUAUAUGGUUUGAACAAUAAAUUAAAAAUUCUUUCACUACCACUUCAUCAAGACAAGCAUACAUGUAAAUCUCAUUCCUUCUUCUUAAUAUUAAAGGUUUGAUAUCAUUUACCUUCUUCUUAAUACCUUUUUUUUUUUUAAUCUAAAGACCUAUAAAAUAAAAAAAUAAAAAAAAAACCUUUUGUUCUUCUUUUUAUACAUUACACCAAAAUUUUAAAAGCAAACUUUGGCACCAUUCAAUUAUUUUGAAAAAAUAUCCAACAUUUUGGAUAUUCCUUUUUGGUAAAUCCAUCUUAAAUCUAAUCCCAUCUUCCAAGACAGUCAUCUUAUUCAAUGAUUCCUAUCAAAGAGCCCAUAUAUUUGUAUCUUUUUGUAGGAUAAAACAAAUAUAAAGCCUAUUUGCAAAUUUUGGCAACCAUCUAAUUGCUUAAACACAAAUAUUAUAAGCUUAAUUAUUAUUUUGAGGGUCCAAAUUUGAAGAAUGGUUCUUUGCUUUUUAAUUGGGUAGGUGGAAUGGUGGAAGUAAUUAUUAUUUUGAGGAUCCAAAUUUGAAGAUUGGUUCUUUGCUUUUUAAUUGGGUAGGUGGAAUGGUGGAUGUAAUUAUUAUUUCGAGGAUCCAAAUGCGGAAUGACUCAUUUUUUUUGUCCCCAUUCAAGUUUUCAACACCUAAUAUUAAAAAGUUGGUACAUUAUUUUUUUCCAACUACACCCACUUGUAAUAUUUUUUUCCCGAAUCAAAUCAAUUUCUUUCUUUAAUUUCUUUUCUUUUGGCAUUUGCUUUUGCUGUCAAAUUCUUUCAAGGUUCCUGAAAUACCCUCUUCUGUUUUCACAUUUCUACUAUACGGUAAGCACGAGCUUAAUAUUGGACAAGGAUAAAACAGUAAUUAAAGCUGGAGGAACUCUUCUUCUUUCCCAACUUCAUGUUUCUACACAGCAGAUGCUUUGAGAGUGCAAAGAGUUUCCCAACAAAAGCUUGAUCCCGAGAUUCCUUUCAAAAUUAUGCUUAAAACAACACCAUUUACUUUCAAUAUGUUUCCAUUUUGUCCAUUAGAACAAUUCAUGUAUAUAACUUUAUUUUUUUAUUAAUUUUGAGAAUACUUUUCAUAAAAAUAUUUUUAGUUUAUUAUAUUUUUAUUAAUAACAAUUUCAUAUAAAUAUUUGUCAAGAGAUCAAGUGAGACUCAGAUAUAAAUUUCUUUUUAUAGUAUUUUUAGCAUUAUAUUAUCUAAGACAAAUAAUAUUUUAAAGAAAUACAUGUUAAAUGAUAGUUUAGAUAUCAAAGAUUCUUUAAUUCUAUGAAGCAUUUUUCGUAACUUUGUUAAGCAAAAUUUUGAUGAUCAAGUACUUUAAUCCCACCAAAAUGAGUCUUUAAAAUGUUUUUAUGUACCAUUCUAGCUAUUAAAUAUGUUUUCAUUAAUCUAUUAAAAAACCUAGAUCAAUUAGAUUUUAGAAAAAUAUAUGCAUUUCAUGAGUCUUUGCUCACCCACAAACUAAGAUUGUGUUUGUUUUUUUUGUUUUUUUAUGAAAGCAAUUUAUUUUCAGAAUUUAGAUAGUUUGUUUUUAUAUUUUUUCAUAACUUAUUAUAAAUUUUUUAUUAAAUAAAAAAAGCGAAAAUAUAUAGCUUUUUCUAAAUAAAAAAAAAUAACAUAUUGGUUUUUCUUUAUUUUUUAAUACUUAAUAGAAAUAAAAUACUACAAAAACAAACAACAUAAUAUUUAACACUAUUAAGUAUUAAGGUUCUAUUUAGAAUUAAGUAAAAAAACAAGGACCCCCUAAGUCUUUUGAAAGUCUUUUAUUUAAUAUCUUCAAUCAUACAAAAAGAGUAGGACCUACAUUACAUAAACAAUCAACUUAUAUACCAUCAAGGUUUAGAAAAAAUAAUUCAAAUAGUCGGACAACCAUCAAUGUGAAUAUGAUUAAAGCAUUUUGAUUUAUUGUUUUAUAAACUUAUAUGGGAGUCUAUUUCACUAAUUGUUUUAAUCAUGGAAGAUACUCCAUCGUUAUACUUUUUUCUCGUAUUUAGAUUCUAAUAUUUAUCUUCUCUUUUCUUGAUAUUCAAUCUUAGGUACACUUAAUUAAUUCACUCUCGUACAUGGAUACGAGAAUGAAGAGAGGCACCAAAGUUAAAUUACCAUAUGGUUUGAACAAUUAAAAAUUCUUUCUCUACCAUUUCACUAAGACAAGCAAGUAUGAAAAUUUCACAGCUUUAUCUCCUAAAUUUUCAUCUUUCUUUUAUAAGUUAUCUCGGGCCAGCGAUGAUAAUUUUUCUAGAGUUUAAAAAAAUAAUAAUAAUUAAAUAAUACAAAAAAAAAAUUAAAAUUAAAUUUAUAGAAGUUCAAUUUAUUUAAUAAAAAGUUUAAUUUAUAAAUAAAUUUACUUCCAACACCUAUCAGGAGGAUGUUACAAUUUAAAAUUUUAUUAGUUCAACUUCUGUUAAUGUUUUUAUUAUAAUAAAGAUGAAACAUUAGAAUAAAAAUUGAAGUUGAGGGAACGUCGGAUUUUGAAUAGAGCACUCCAAAAUAUUAAAGUGAGAAUUAAUUAAGAGCUUUCUUAAAGAAAACAUUGGUUAGCAUAUAGUAAUUUUAAUUGAGUGUAGCUUCUAUUAUAUAUUUAAUAUUUUUAUAUUUAAAAUUUUGUUUUUACGUUGCUGCAAUUAAAAGGUUUUUUUUAUUAUUUUUUUCUUUUUUAGAGUUUUACAACUGUAACUCUUCUCAUUUUGAUUAGUAGAUUAUUGAGUGUUGAUGUAUUUCAUGGAUGUAGGGAUCACAUUAAUCGUUGAACCACGUUAAAAAUUUUAUUUAUUUUUUAUUUUCUAUUUGUGUGUGUACGUGAUUUGAUUAACACAUUUGACACACUAUCCCACAAAAACAUUGAAUAGGUGCCCUAAAAGAGUUCAAGGAAGACCCCCACAAGCUUAGAGGGUUGGAGUCGUGGGAAGCCUAACAUUACAAUAUAAGAUUGUUUAGUUGUAUAUUCUAUACUUAUAUAUUUGGUGCAUUAUAAAAUAAAAUAAAAAUUGAUAAUAAGGUGAAAAAUUAAUUUUUAUUGAUUUAUAAUUGGGUGACAAAAGACUAUAAUGUAUAUAAUUCAUAAAUCAAUAAAUCAAGACUAAAGCAACUUGAUUAAUUAUUUUAUGGACCCAUGUGGGAGCCCUUUUCGUUAAUGGUUUUACUCAUAAAAGAAAUUCAAUAAUUCUACCAUUUUCUCAUGCUUGGGUUUUAACAUUUUAUAGAACUACACCCACUUGUAAUACUUUUUCCAGUCAACAAUUUUAAUUGAGUGUAGCUUCUAUAAAUAAUUGAUUUAUUGAGUAGUUUUAAAACUCGGAUGUUGAAGUAAAGUCAGUUUUGAAAAAAUUGGCCCCAUUAACAGCUGGACCGAAUAAUUUUCAAACCUAAAGUCAGUGCGGACAGCAAUAAAGCAAUUUGAUUGCUUGUUGUGCAGACACACCCAUGUGAUGUGACACUGCCUUUCCCUGAUUGCUUUAUUCAUUGAAGAUAUGCCAAAAGCAUGCAUUGUAUUUUUUUGCUUUUUCUUUUUCUUUUUUCUUUCAUUGUUUCAAUACUAAUGGACAAUUCUUCUCAGUAAUUUGUGGAAGUUCUUAAAGAACCCUUCUUUUUUUGUAAUUUCAUUGUGAGCAAAGGUGAUAUUUUGAUUGUAGAAGGGUGAACAAGUAAUUAGACCCAUCUCAUAUAAUUAAGAGCAAGUUUUGAGAGUGCAGAGGCCUUCACAACUCUCUGGGUUUUCUUCAUUGUAUGUUUCUGAACUUCUGAAUCCUUCGUUUCCAAAGAAAAAUGGUUGUGGUGGAGGCGUUUCUGUCUUCCUUGUUUGAGGUGGUGCUGGACAAGCUGGUGGCUGCCCCUUUGUUAGAUUAUGCACGCCAGCUCAAAGUAGACACAGCAGUGCUCCAGGAGUGGAGGAACACUUUGUUGCAGCUCCAAGCAGUGCUACAUGAUGCUGAGCAGAGGCAGAUUCAGGACGAAGCAGUGAAGAGGUGGCUGGACGAUCUCAAAGCUUUAGCUUACGACAUUGAAGAUGUCCUUGACGAGUUUGAAGCUGAAGCUAAGCGGCCCAGUUCGGUACAAGGACCUCAAACCAGCAGCAGCAGCAGCAGCGGCAAGGUAUGGAAGUUCAACCUCUCUUUUCAUCCUAGCGGUGUGAUUUCCAAAAAGAAGAUUGGUCAAAAAAUAAAGAUAAUCACCCAAGAGCUAGAGGCUAUUGUAAAAAGAAAGUCUUUCCUUCGUUUGAGUGAGAGUGUUGGAGGGGUGGCAUCAGUAACUGAUCAACAAAGGCUGACUACUUUCUUGGUAGAUGAGGUUGAGGUUUAUGGCAGGGAUGGUGAUAAGGAGAAGAUCAUAGAAUUGUUGCUGUCUGAUGAACUAGCUACUGCUGAUAAAGUUCAGGUGAUUCCAAUUGUUGGUAUGGGUGGGGUUGGAAAAACAACCCUUGCUCAAAUCAUCUAUAACGAUGACAAGAUGCAGGACAAGUUCGAUUUCCGAGUCUGGGUGUGCGUGUCUGAUCAAUUCGAUUUGAUAGGAAUAACAAAAAAAAUUUUAGAGUCAGUCUCUGGCCAUUCAUCCCAUUCUGAAAACUUGUCAUUGCUGCAAGCUAGUUUGCAGAAAGAGUUGAAUGGAAAAAGGUUUUUCCUUGUGCUGGAUGAUAUAUGGAAUGAGAACCCCGAUAACUGGAGUACCUUACAAGCCCCACUCAAAGCUGGAGCACUGGGCAGUGUAAUCAUAGCAACCACCCGCAAUGAAAAAGUAGCAUCAAUUAUGGGCACAACUCCUUUUUGUCGUCUUAGCGAACUAUCAGAUGAACAUUGCUGGUCAGUAUUUGCAUAUCGUGCCUUCGAAAAUAUAACUCCAGAUGCAAUAAAAAAUUUGGAACCUAUUGGUCGGAAAAUAGUACAGAAAUGCAAAGGUUUGCCCUUGGCAGCAAAAACGCUAGGAGGUUUAUUGCGGUCUGAACAAGAUGAAAAGGCUUGGAAGGAAAUGAUGAAUAACAAAAUAUGGGAUUUACCAACGGAACAGUGUAACAUUUUUCCAGCUCUACACUUGAGCUAUCAUUAUCUCCCCACAAAAGUAAAGCAGUGUUUUGCAUAUUGCUCCAUCUUUCCCAAGGAUUAUGAAUAUCAAAAGGAGGAGUUAAUUUUGUUAUGGGCGGCACAAGGUUUUGUGGGUGACUUCAAAGGAGAGGAGAUGAUAGAAGAUGGUGAAAAAUGUUUUCGGAACCUAUUGUCAAGGUCAUUCUUUCAACAAUCAAGUCAAAAUAAGUCAUUGUUGGUGAUGCAUGAUUUGAUUCAUGAUUUGGCCCAAUUUGCAUCUAGAGAAUUUUGUUUCAGAUUGGAAGUGGGAAAGCAAAAAAACUUUUCAAAGAGGGCUCGACAUUUGUCAUACAUCCAUGAACAAUUCGAUGUCUCCAAGAAAUUUGAUCCCCUUCGUAAGGUUGAUAAGUUACGGACCUUCCUACCAUUAGUUAUGCCUGCAGCUUAUGUUCCAACUUGCUACUUAGCUGAUAAAGUUCUACAUGAUCUAUUGCCAACAUUCAGAUGUUUGCGGGUUUUAUCCUUGUCUCACUAUAAUAUCACUCAUUUACCUGAUUCAUUUCAAAAUUUGAAGCAUUUGCAGUAUUUGAACCUUUCUAGCACCAAGAUAAAGAAGUUACCUAAAUCCAUAGGUAUGCUUUGCAAUUUGCAAUCACUGAUGUUGUCAAAUUGUCAUGGGAUUACCGAGCUGCCUCCUGAAAUCGAAAACCUCAUCCACCUACAUCAUUUGGAUAUUUCUGGAACCAAAUUAGAAGGGAUGCCAAUAGGAAUCAAUAAACUAAAAGAUCUUCGAAGAUUGACUACUUUUGUUGUUGGCAAGCAUAGUGGUGCAAGAAUUGCAGAGUUACAAGAUCUGUCCCAUCUGCAGGGAGCACUCUCCAUUUUUAACUUGCAAAAUGUGGUGAAUGCUACGGAUGCUUUAAAAGCUAAUUUGAAGAAAAAGGAAGACCUUGAUGACUUGGUGUUUGCGUGGGAUCCAAAUGUGAUUGAUAGUGAUUCGGAGAAUCAAACCAGAGUUCUCGAAAAUCUUCAGCCUCAUACCAAGGUGAAAAGGCUCAACAUUCAACACUACUAUGGCAGAAAAUUUCCAAAAUGGUUUGGAGAUCCUUCAUUCAUGAAUUUAGUUUUCUUACGACUUGAAGAUUGUAACAGUUGCUCGUCCUUGCCACCACUUGGGCAGUUACAAUCUCUCAAGGAUCUCCAGAUUGCGAAGAUGGAUGGAGUACAAAACGUUGGUGCAGAUUUCUAUGGGAAUAAUGAUUGUGACUCAUCUUCAAUUAAGCCGUUUGGAUCCCUAGAGAUUCUGAGGUUUGAAGAUAUGUUGGAGUGGGAAAAAUGGAUUUGUUGUGACAUUAAGUUUCCUUGUCUGAAGGAGCUUUAUAUCAAGAAAUGUCCAAAGCUGAAAGGAGAUAUACCUAGGCACCUUCCUCUUUUAACAAAAUUGGAGAUUAGUGAAAGUGGGCAGCUGGAGUGUUGUGUUCCAAUGGCUCCCUCUAUUCGUGAAUUGAUGUUGGAGGAAUGUGAUGAUGUGGUGGUUAGAAGUGUUGGCAAGCUCACCUCACUAGCUUCUUUGGGCAUAAGCAAAGUUUCUAAAAUACCAGAUGAAUUGGGACAACUGCAUUCUCUUGUAAAGUUGUCUGUGUGUCGUUGUCCCGAGCUAAAGGAAAUUCCACCAAUUCUUCACAACCUUACAUCUCUUAAACACUUGGUGAUCGAUCAAUGUAGGAGUCUUUCAUCUUUUCCGGAGAUGGCGCUGCCACCCAUGCUUGAAAGGCUUGAAAUCAGAGACUGUCGCACUCUGGAGUCCCUACCAGAGGGAAUGAUGCAAAAUAAUACGACUCUGCAAUACUUGGAAAUCCGUGAUUGUUGUUCUCUGAGGUCCUUGCCCAGGGACAUUGAUUCAUUGAAGACACUUGCAAUCUACGAGUGUAAGAAAUUGGAGUUAGCACUCCACGAGGAUAUGACGCACAACCACUACGCUUCCCUUACCAACUUCAUGAUAUGGGGUAUUGGUGAUUCUCUGACGUCCUUUCCAUUAGCCUCCUUCACAAAGCUUGAGACGCUUGAAUUAUGGGAUUGUACAAAUCUGGAGUACCUUUACAUUCCAGAUGGACUUCACCACGUGGAUCUCACAUCUCUCCAGAUAUUAUAUAUCGCUAAUUGCCCUAAUCUGGUAUCUUUUCCGCAAGGAGGAUUGCCCACUCCUAAUCUGACAUCUCUUUGGAUAAAAAACUGCAAGAAGCUCAAGUCACUGCCGCAAGGGAUGCACUCCCUCCUUGCAUCCCUUGAAUCAUUGGCAAUAGGAGGUUGUCCAGAAAUUGAUUCAUUUCCAAUAGGGGGUUUGCCCACUAAUCUAUCUGAUCUUCACAUCAAGAAUUGUAACAAACUCAUGGCCUGUCGGAUGGAGUGGCGCUUGCAAACGCUUCCCUUUCUUAGAAGCUUAUGGAUUAAAGGACUUGAAGAAGAAAAAUUGGAGUCAUUUCCUGAGGAGCGGUUUCUGCCCUCCACUCUCACCAUUCUUUCAAUUGAAAAUUUUCCAAAUCUGAAAUCCUUGGACAAUAAUGACCUUGAGCACCUGACCUCUCUUGAAACUCUGUGGAUUGAGGACUGUGAAAAGCUCGAGUCCUUGCCAAAACAGGGAUUGCCCCCCUCCCUUUCUUGUCUUUAUAUUGAGAAGUGUCCUCUGCUGGAGAAGCGAUGCCAAAGGGAUAAAGGGAAAAAAUGGUCCAACAUUUCUCACAUUCCCUGCAUCGUGAUAUUUAAUGAAAAGGAUUUGUCAAUUGAAGAGGUCAACAUGUCAUGAGGCACUUGCAUCCAAACUCUUGCCUUUCUAUGCAAUUAUUAAUUCAGUACGUACUUUCUACUUUUAUUUAUGUUUUGUGCAAUCCACACAACCGAGUUUGUGUAUCAUUCUCUUCUACCAAUCAAUUCCAUCUCACCAUACACCUUCCAUGGCUGCUCCAGAAUUGAAACCAAUAUUUUAAACUCUAAUACAAAAUCAAAACAAACUACUACUUGAAAAUUACUUUUAUUUUUUAAUUAUAUGAAUAUUAAAUGUGUGUAGUAGUUUUAAAUUUCUUUCUUUCUUUUUUAAAUAUCUUUAGUAGUUAUAUAACAAAUAGAAAAAUUGAAUUUUAAAGGAUUUUUCAAUAAAUUUUAAGUGAUUUUCCUUGAUUUUAUUAUCAAAAUUUUAAAAUAAAAAGUAAAAAUACCCCCCAAAAUACACCUUUGAAAUUAUUUUCAAAUUAAAUUUUUUUUAAAUCCAAAUAAAUAAAAAAGUACAAAUGAACAAUCCUUAAUUUUUGUGGGAGUUUUUUUUUCAUGUUUUUUAGUUUUUUUUUUUUAAAAAAAAAUUAUUUGAUCAACAACCCUUGUAUUUGAAUCUUUGAAUUUGUGGUGUGUGUCUUUUAACGUUAAUUUCUUCAAAUAGGAGUAGGCUUAUAUAUGUUGUAUGUUAUCAAUAUCAAAGAAACUAUUAAUAUGUUUAAUUCCUUUGAACCUGAAAACAACUGUACCUAUGAUCUGUAAGUGAAAAACAAGCCAAACAUAUUGACUUUGAAACUAUAAUAUUUUGUAUGAAUUGUCCAAAUAUAUUCAUUUAAGGCUUUUCAUGAACUCUAUGUAGGUUUUUUUUAAUACAAUUUUCGAGACAAAAUGUUGGAGGGCAACAAUCAUUUUCUUAGCAGUUCUAUGUUAUAUGUAAGUACAUGUAUACUUGUUCCUUGGUUCUAAUUUGGUGGGGUAUAGAUUUUUAAGUGACCUUUGUAAACAAUUAGCUCAUUUCUAAUUCUAAUUCCAGUUUCUGUAAUCAUAUUUCAGGGACUGUAAAACUAUUCAUGUCAUGAUGAAUUUUUUAUGCUUGAGUGCAUACAAUCUCGUUAUUGAUCGAGGAGGUUCUCCACCAAACAACUCCAUUCAUAGCUAUAGAGUGCCCUGUUUUCACAUAGGUACAAAUUAUUCCACAAUCCCACUUUCUCACUUACGACAAUAAUUCACAUAUAUGAGUUUCAACUGAAGAAAACUUGAUUUAUAUUUCAUCUCUAGGAAUAAGCAAAAACCUGAAUUAACAAAUGUGGGAACAAUUAGCCAAUCUCAUUGGUUUGGUUGCUGAGGAUUGUCUUCUUUAGAGUUUUGACAUUAUGCUUGCUCCUGAAUUCUCCAUGGUGACACCAUCAAUAUCUAUUCCUUGACUUUGCUCCAUGUGAAAGCUUUCAACUCAUUAGAGCAACUACUAAAGGAUUGUACUUGUGGGUUCUUCAC
rnacentral:lncRNA from 1 species